GUGCAGCAGUCGAGAAACCUCCGCAAUACACGAAAGUGUGACGGGGCCAUCCCGAGUGCCGUCCGCUGAGGACGGCUUUUCCCCAGUGUACACAGCUGGGGGAAUAAGGAGAGGGCAAGCCUGGUGUCAGCCGCCGCGGUAAUACCAGCUCUCCGAGUGGUGGGGACGCUUAUUGGGCCUAAAGCAUCCGUAGCCGGCUGGGCAAGUCCUCCGUUAAAUCCAACGAUUCAAUCGUUGGGCUGCGGGGGAUACUGUCCAGCUUGGGGGCGGGAGAGGCCGACGGUAUUCCCCGGGGUAGGGGUGAAAUCCUAUAAUCCCGGGAGGACCACCAGUGGCGAAGGCUGUCGGCUAGAACGCGCCCGACGGUGAGGGAUGAAAGCGUGGGGGAGCGGAACCGGAUUAGAUACCCGGGUAGU
rnacentral:rRNA from 1 species